rnacentral:rRNA from 1 species
AGGACGAACGCUGGCGGCGUGCUUCACACAUGCAAGUCGAACGGGGCUCAUUCGGUGGUAACACCGGAGAAGGCCUAGUGGCGAACGGGUGCGUAACACGUGAAGAACCUGCCCCGAAGACUGGGAUAACAGCGGGAAACCGCUGCUAAUACCGGAUGACCCCACCAGGCCGCAUGGCCAGGUGAGGAAAUGGGCCUACCGCUUCGGGAGGGCUUCGCGGCCUAUCAGCUUGUUGGUGGGGUAACGGCCUACCAAGGCUACGACGGGUAGCUGGUCUGAGAGGACGACCAGCCACACUGGGGACUGAGACACGGCCCAGACUCCUACGGGAGGCAGCAGUGGGGAAUCUUGCGCAAUGGGCGAAAGCCUGACGCAGCAACGCCGCGUGAGGGAUGAAGGUCUUCGGGUUGUAAACCUCUUUCGAGCAGGGACGAUUGUGACGGUACCUGCAGAAGAAGCUCCGGCCAACUACGCGCCAGCAGCCGCGGU